UACGGAGGGUGCGAGCGUUGUCCGGAAUCACUGGGCGUAAAGGGCGCGUAGGCGGCGCGGAUAGUCGGCGGUGAAAGCCCGGAGCUCAACUCCGGGUCGGCCGUCGAUACUUCCGGGCUUGAGCACUGUAGAGGCAGAUGGAAUUCCGGGUGUAGCGGUGGAAUGCGUAGAGAUCCGGAAGAACACCGGUGGCGAAGGCGGUCUGCUGGGGUCGAACUGACGCUGAGGCGCGACAGCGUGGGGAGCAAACAGG
rnacentral:rRNA from 1 species